GGCAGCGCGCAUGCGCAGCCCUCAGGGCCGGCCCCGGCGCACCUUUUCUCCCUCCUGCUCACAUUGUGAGCGCUCCGCCGCCCACAAAACUGCCGAUUCCCGCUCCACCCCCGCCUCCCCCACUCCACCCACUCCCGGGCACCCAGGGUCUCUGAAAUGAUACUUAAAUGGGGUGAGUAUAGAAAUGUAGAAAUCAGCCAUCACAACACGUCUAAACAACUUUGAUGCGAAAACUCAAGUCCCACCUGACAGCACCAGGCUGGAUAAUAUGCUGCAGUGGAGAGUGGCCUGCAGAUGACCAGGGAGUGACCAGGAACUGACCAUCUGCUUGAAGCCGGAACUGGUGGCAAGGCUGAGCCUUGGCCUGCAAACAAGAGACGAAGAAGGUGCGUGUUCCCCUGAGCAAUGUGUUGCCAUUCGGAGGAGCUGCAUAUUUCCUCUGUGCCAAAGAAUCCCCUGGUGCUUGGAGACCUCCUUCCUGUCGUGUUGAUGGUCCCGUGGAAAUGGGCCCCAUAGGAAGCUUGGUUCUGCUCUGCAUGGCAUUGACUGUGCAUGUCUUUUUCCUGACCAGGUUGCUGUUCUUAGCACCUACUAAGCACCUAGAUGUCCCCAACUUAUUGAGUGCUUUCCACUGUCCUAAAUGUUGCGCCUCUGUUAUCCCAUAGAAUCCUUCCAACUUCCUUUUGAGGUGAAUCCUCUGAUGCUGGUUGGUGAAGAUCUCGAGGGAGGUUUUUCCACAUUCUUCGGAUUCAUGGUUUCUCUCUAAUGUCCACGCCGAUGUUGGGUCUCAUCUUGAGCGAAGGUUUCCGCACAUCACAUUCUAUGUAAUUAAAUUCCUGGACACUGAGUCAGAUGUGCCGUCCAAGCCUCCAGACUCACCCGAGGGCUCUCGCACGGACACAUCAGAUACAGGUUUCUUUCCAGAGACUGAAUUCAUGAAGGGCGGGACCUAGGCACCCCCGCCCCCAUAGAGAGAACAGAAUGGGGGCUGAUGUCCUUGGGGUCUUACCAUAUGGACAUCCUGUUGGAACAUUCUUCACUCCUCCCCAGCAAGGCACACUCUGCUCUGUGAAGAAUCCAGGCAGGAAGUAAAGGAGAUCUCUGCGGCCACAGUGGAAAUGCCCAGACUCUCAGGAACCCCGGAUGGUCAUCCAGUCUGACCACACAUACCAUUCUGUUUUCAUUAUUAGUGUCUGUCCUGACUGCUAGUUCAUGGGCUCCCCCAGGACAGGAGGCAUGUGUGCCCUAGACACCAGUAGAGCCAUUUCAGUGUGUAUCACAGUGCCUGGUACAGAGCAGCUGUUAUUAAAUAUUUGUUGAAUAAAUCAACUAUAAAUGUGGAAGUGAUUCCCUUAAAGAGCUCUUCGCUCUUGCUUAGAUGUUGAGUUACAUUACAAGAUGGGUGUGUUGGGGGUGCGUAGGGACACCCUUGGGUAAGAAAUGCAUGGGAGGGCUCUGGAAAAUAGCCCCAAAGUUCCAUUUGUAUCUGCUGAGUAACAGGGAACCCCUGCAGGUUCUUCGGGUCACCGACAGGAGAAGGCAAGCGGGCGCGGGUUUUACAGGCUGUAUUUGAUCUGGAAGAGGGUAGGGUUACCCGAAGAACAGUGCGUCUUCUGGGAGCCACCUAAUCGCAGUGGCGAGCUCCAGAGAUGACUUUUGUGGCUGAAGGGUGAAUGUUUCAGCCGGGUGAGUGUCAAGAAUGCGGUAAGAGCUCUAGGGAGCCUUGCUGCUGUGUGAACUCAGAGCUGACGGUGGAAACAGAAGAGCCAGUGCAGGAAUAGCCAAAAAUGGCCAAAGAGGAAGACGCCUUGGGACCCAGCCCGGGAUCCUGGCGUUGCACUGUGUGGAGUGGGGGUGAAACCAAAUAGGAAGAUGUGUCUUUCUCCUGAGGGCAGAGGCCGUGUCUUAAGCAUCUACACCCACAGCUCCAAGCAGAGUGAGCGCCUUGCACACAGGAGCUGCUUAAUAAAUGCUAGAUAAAUGAAUGCUGGUUGUCUGGCUCUGGGAGGCACUGAGGAUGUGAGAGCUUGUGCGAGCCCCUGAAGCCCUGUUUACUGUCUUCUCUCCUCCGAGCUCCUCAGCCCACUCUUCUGUGUCGUCCCACCUCUGCUUUAAGCCAGAAGAUGUUCCCAAAGAUUGCGGCUCUAGGUGGACAGCAGAGAGUAGGAAAGGUGACUCUAGCACCUGCCAACUGGGUCUCAGCCUCAGCUGGUCCGGUCGCUCCCUCCCUUCUCCUUGGGGUUCCCACUGCCGAUAGGAUCCCACCCAGCCCCCCACCCAGUCAUCAGGUGUUGUUCACGUUUCCUCCUAGUCUUUCUCUCUUUGAUCUCAUCUGGGCAGGCAGGGACAUGUCACUGCUGGAAGCCUGGCAUAAGCAGAUGUGUGCGUGCAGGCACACACGACCCCUUCCCUGUCUCGGAGCCACCGUCUGGGCCUCUGCCCCUGGCCUGACCCAUCUUUAUGAGGCCGGGGCUCUUCCUCUCCAGGUGCUGAAGGUAGCCUCUGAGGCGAGAGAGCCAGGCAUUUUGCACAUCCGUGUCUGCAGCGUUGGCCUCCCUCAGGGGCUUGGGGAAGAUCCACCCAUAAGGAAGGAACUUCCAGAGAGACAAGAAACCAGGAGCCUGACCUCGUGAUGCCCACAGCACCUGGCAAGGAAGGUACCAGUUCUGCUGUCCUGGCCCAGACCCAAUUCUCUCUUCCAGCAUCCACGCCUUCCCUGGCUCCCCUCCAGGCCGACAAGAUCUGCUCCAGUUGGGGAAGGAUAAGUAUGGUCUAAUGAGUAGCGGCAGGAGAGGGAGGCCCCCAUGAUCUCGGUCACAUCAUACCCUGGCUCUGUGCCUCAGUUUCCCCCUUGAGAAAGUCUGCCCCUGCUUCCAGGGUUCGGAAGUUCCCUGGUCUCACUGGGGAAGAAACCCACAAUGGUGUUGUGUUCCCUUGCAGCCAGGAGCCGCCCGCCCUGCCCUGCCCCACCCCAGGAGGACUUGCUAGUUGGUGAAGCCCGGCCAGCAAGGCAGGGUCCUGCAGGAUGAAAGCUCGGAGACGCCAGAGCAGGAAUAAUAAUGAUAAUCAUCGGCUGUGGCGUCUCAACCGUCCAGGAAUGCGAGGCCCACGCCCUGCGCUCCCCACACCCCGAGACACUCCGAGGGCUCCUCUCCCUUGAUUUUACUGCAGUGAUCCCACACUUAGCCAUUCCCAGCCCAAUCCAUUUGGGUUCCCAAGGACUGCAGUCCAGCUCCUGGCUCAUCCAGCCCCCAGGUUCCCCAUGGGAAGAGUGAGCUCGACUAGAGGGUCGAGGGUAGGAUGCCAGGCUCCCUGGAGGCUCGGGCUCCUGGGUUUCCCAGAGAAGCACUCUGGCCAUCCCUGGCCUGGAGCGCUUUCCCACAGACCCAUUUUUGUCUGGUCAGCUUGAGGUCCAGGAGCUUUGCCUGUGUCAAUACAAAUCAGAAUUCAAGUCCUGGCUGGGCCACACAUUAACUCGCGGUAGGACCUUGGGCAAGUUUCGUUUUGUUUUUAACUUCUUUGGGUUCACUGUCUCACCUGCCCCAAAACUUCCAAGGUUCCCCCUCGUUCACUGAAGAUAAACUCUGAAUCCCGUAGUCCAGCAUAUGGCUGUUGAAGAUUCGGUUCUUUGUUUUUUUGGCCGUGCCGUGCAGCCUGCAGGAUCUUAGUUCCCUGACCAGGGAUUGAACCACGGCCCCCUCCAAUGGAAGCGUGGCGUCUUAACCACUGGACCACCAGGGAAGUCCCAAAGAUCUGGUUCUAAUUCACCUUUCCAACCCCACUCUUCUUCACCCUCCAGAUGCCAGCCACAAGUGACUCCCUACUGUUGGUCAUGCAUAUCCCAUGCAUUUCCCAUUCUGGGGUUGCCAUCCUUCUUUGGGAAUGUCAUUUUCUUCAUUUCUACCUGGCCAGACCUUCCUAGCCUUUGAGGUCCAGGCCAGAGAUCAUUGCUUCCAUGACUGCCUGACUCUCUUCCCACCUUGGGAGGCUGGUUCUUCUUUGUCUGAACCUCAAGCCCCUGGGUCCACCCUCUGCCCUGGUUAUGUGCAUAUCUCCACUUGCCCACUGGGGUCAUCAGUGUGCUGAGGUCUCCAUCUUUGUGUCCUCAUAGCGCCUAGUACAGCAUCCUGCAUACACGACACAUGCUCAAUAAAUAAGUGUUGGGCAUAAAUUGUAGCAAAUAAUCAUCCCCACCCUAUUAACUUCCCCACACAAAUGUGCUUUGAAAAAGUAAAAGUAAUUAUUUUAAUAUAAAAUUGUAUGCAUGUGUGUUCUCCCCAGUUUCCUCAGGGUAGUGGAACGCAGGUACCCAAGUAUCCGGUGAAGGUCUUAGCUCCCUAGCAUUGGGCCGACAUGCGGAAGGCUUUUCUCAACCAGUCGCUGGUCCAGUCUGAACUUGGACGCUGCCUAGCAGGAGGCGAGCUCUUCCCUUCCUCAGAGAAUGGCAAUCCCAUCCCUUGGGGGCUUCCGUUUUUCUAAGCCCCAUCAGCCUCCAUGUGCCGUGGGACUCAUAUGCCAGCAGGACCCCUGGAUUCAAGUGUUGUUAAGAGAUGAGAGGUUGGAUGUGUUUAGAAACCUCUCACCUGGAUCCUUAUGAGAACACCUUGGAGCAGUGUUCACUGCUGCUGCCUGUUAGUGUUGUUAAUAACAGUAAGAAUAACUUCGGCAACGCCUUGUAUUUACUUAAUGCUUUUCUCCAGGGAGCUCAACUAAUCUUUCCCUCAUCCCCAGAAAGAAGAGAAGGACCAUGGCAAUGAAAGAGAAGUGAGCCAUUGCGGCCACACUUUGAGUACUAGCAUCCUUUGUUCUAAGAGUCCCCACCACUCCCGCCGGUCAGACGCUCCGUGGUCCGGUCCUGAGCAGCGAAGCCUUCUGACCCCACCAUGAGCUGGGACUACAGCCCUGUUCCGUCUCGCUCGUUCCCUGGCACCCCUUUUGGAGUUGGUCAGUCAUUCAGUCCACAAACAUUUAUUGGGCAUCCCGCACGAGCAGAGUGCCGUGCUGCGUGGCUACUGGGAAAAGUCAAGAAAAUGUUGGUGCUGCCUUCGGGAGAAAACACUCUCCCACCACAAACACCCAGAGAGCUGCUUACUACAAGUUCAAAAGAACUCCGUCUCAGAACCAGAGGGGUAACGGGGAGCCAAACAGGGUGGGCUUUAUCAGAAAAGUCUUCUUGAAAUGGGGAGAUUGGAGCCUAACUUUGAUUCUCAGAAGGGCUGUCCCAGCUGAACAAAUCGGUGCCCAGGGUUGGGAAGCUCAUCCUGGCAGUGGGACCCAGAAUUCCCCUGCCACCUCUGCCAGGAAGCUGCCUUGUGGAUCCUGGGCCGCCCCUUCCCCUCUGGGCCAACUGGGCGAUAAGGACGGGGGACCAGCCCCAGCAAGGAGGAAGUGGCCUGGCUUCCUGUUUGUUUGUGAAUCUCAGAGCAGCACCGUGCAGCCAUGAACCCCAGCAAAGCAGAACAAGCCCAGCCUGAGCCCAGAGUUCCAGGGAGACCCACCAACCAACCCAGCAAGUCCUCAACCAUCUGGGACUCCAGAGCAGAGACCCAUCCCAGGGCAGCCACACUUGGAGGGCUAGCCUGGUAGCAGCCAUGCCAGGUCGGCAGGGUAAAGAGGUGGAGUAAUGACUUCCCCAAAGAAGUCAGAGUCACACAUUCAUCAUAGGAAGCCUCUGGGCAGCUCCAGGGGCUCAAGCAAUGCCAUCUCCCCACCCCAAAGAUUAUUUCCUAGGACCCUGGACACAACCCUUUUGCCUUGUAAGAAAACCUUGUGCAGAGAUUGGACCCUUUGAAAAAUGGGGCAGCAUUCAUUGUGGUUUUGUUUGCAACAGCAAAACACACGAAAAACCACCAGCAAGUCAUCCAAAAGCCAAUUCGUGACAAAAAAACAUGAUAGAUCCAUACUGGGGGAAACGCUGUAGCCAUUAAAAACAAUGGGGUGGAUUUGUUUGUGCUGAGAUGUCCAAGAUAUUUCAGUAAAUGAAAACAGCAAGAUACAACAGCGUGAUCCCUUUUCUGCAAAUAACGAACAGCAGAGGACAUGUUCAUAUAGGCUUAGAGAUGUAUGUGCUCUAGAAUGCGUGACUUUUUUUUUUUUUUUUUUUUUUUUACUGGAAGGAAAUUUAAGUAACCUAACAGCGGUUAUUUCGGGGAGAGGAACUGUGAAAGAAAAGUGGUGGGAAGGCAUUCAGUGUUCAUUAUGUAUCUUCCUGUACCGUUUGCAUUUUAAACUGAUGUAUAUAUGAUAUUGAGAUAGAUAUACAUAUUUUAAAAAUAUUACCUGUGGGCAAUGGGAUUAUGGUCCAUUCUGUUUAAUUCUUUGUACUUCUCUGUAUCAUUUAAAAUAAAAAAUAUCAAAGC